rnacentral:rRNA from 1 species
GACGAACGCUGGCGGCGUGCUUAACACAUGCAAGUCGAACGGAAAGGCCCUGCUUGCAGGGUACUCGAGUGGCGAACGGGUGAGUAACACGUGGGUGAUCUGCCCUGCACUUCGGGAUAAGCUUGGGAAACUGGGUCUAAUACCGGAUAGGACCGCACUUUAGUGUGUGUGGUGGAAAGUUUUUUCGGUGUAGGAUGAGCUCGCGGCCUAUCAGCUUGUUGGUGGGGUAAUGGCCUACCAAGGCGGCGACGGGUAGCCGGCCUGAGAGGGUGUACGGCCACAUUGGGACUGAGAUACGGCCCAGACUCCUACGGGAGGCAGCAGUGGGGAAGAUUGCACAAUGGGCGCAAGCCUGAUGCAGCGACGCCGCGGGGGGGAUGAAGGCCUUCGGGUUGUAAACUCCUUUCGCUAGGGACGAAGCUUUUUGUGACGGUACCUAGAUAAGAAGCACCGGCUAACUACGUG